AAUGUCUGGGAAACUGCCUGAUGGAGGGGGAUAACUACUGGAAACGGUAGCUAAUACCGCAUAACGUCGCAAGACCAAAGAGGGGGACCUUCGGGCCUCUUGCCAUCGGAUGUGCCCAGAUGGGAUUAGCUWGUWGGUGGGGUAACGGCUCACCWAGGCGACGAUCCCUAGCUGGUCUGAGAGGAUGACCAGCCACACUGGAACUGAGACACGGUCCAGACUCCUACGGGAGGCAGCAGUGGGGAAUAUUGCACAAUGGGCGCAAGCCUGAUGCAGCCAUGCCGCGUGUAUGAAGAAGGCCUUCGGGUUGUAAAGUACUUUCAGCGGGGAGGAAGGGAGUAAAGUUAAUACCUUUGCUCAUUGACGUUACCCGCAGAAGAAGCACCGGCUAACUCCGUGCCAGCAGCCG
rnacentral:rRNA from 1 species